AUUGAACGCUGGCGGCAGGCCUAACACAUGCAAGUCGAACGAGUGGCGGACGGGUGAGUAAUGUCUGGGUAUCUGCGUGAUGGGGGGGGAUCUCUUCGGGACACGGGAACUAAUACCGUAUACCAUCAUAUGUGCACAGAUGGGAUUAGCUAGUUGGUGGGGGAAAGGCACACCAAGGCGACGAUCCCUCGCUGGUCUGAGAGGCUGACCAGCCACACUGGAACUGAGACACGGUCCAGACUCCUACGGGAGGCAGCAGUGGGGAAUAUUGCACAAUGGGCGCAAGCCUGAUGCAGCCAUGCCGCGUGUAUGAAUAAGGCCUUCGGGUUGUAAAGUACUUUCAGCGGGGAGGCGUUACCCACAGAAGAAGCACCGGCUAACUCCGUGCCAGCAGCCGCGGUAAUAC
rnacentral:rRNA from 1 species